AUUUCUACUUAUUUCAAAAAACGCGGUGCUGAAGAAGUCAUAUUAUUUAUCUGUGCCACUUCUAUUUAAGUUCAGUCGGCAAAUAUAGGUCAGUCGUAUUAUCGUUCAAAACUUCAUUCGUCGUUCGUUUCCUGCUGUUGUUUUCUGUCAUUGUCAACUGACCGUCAUUGGAUUUGCGAAGUUGUUUUUGUUUUUCCUCGCCGGAAUUUCGAUUGUGAUAGCAUAGGACAAAAUGUGAAUUUAUAUUAUUGUGUCAUAUAUUAUCAUAGCGGUUCAUUGUCCUUAUAAACAUCUUAACCAUUACCAAUUCGUGUUAAUACGUUGAUUGAACAGAACGUGACAGUGACAAGAUGAUCAGCUGUUCCACAUAAUUAUUUGUAUUUCAAAAACUUUUUCGAGUUAUUGUAAUCUAAAUCAUCGAUAAUAUUUUUGUAAAUACGUUAUAAAGCUAGAUAAGUGAUAAUGUGGUCUAAUUUAGAUCAUAAGUUUAAUUUCGUUGCAUUUUUCCUGAUUUACUUUUCGGCUUCCGUUGCUACACAAGAUGCAAACAUAACAAUACCAUUGAAUGCUACACUUACAUAUGACAACAAGGAACUAUAUGGAGCCUUCGUAACACUAAACGGAGAGUCGCACGUACAAGUUAACUUUAGCGACAUUAACAAAAGUUUGAACUUCAUCGUCUUCCAGGCUCACAGCCAUUUGUUAAAUAUUUCUUUGUACACAAAUGACACGAGCGGUGAACAGGGAGUUUUUGGAACGAAUCUGGGAUUGGUCAGCUUCGUCAAAUCUGUGAAAACAUUUCAUGUAGUUAAUCCUAAUAAGAAUUUGACUGCCCGAGUGUUUAUUUCAGUUCAUGGAUAUGAGGAAUUCGAUCCGAUACCAGGAGGUUGUAAUAUGGAGUUUCCAGUUCCGAUAUCCCCGUUCAUUCGAACAUUCACAUACCCUGACUACAUCUUCAUCGACGCAGCACCACCAGCCAUGGAUGAAGAUUGUAUCGUUCCUCUAAUAAAUAGUAUGGAGUUUUAUAUGAUGUACUUGCCUGACUUGAAUUUCUAUGCUGACACUUAUUUUGAUGGCAUCAGGAAAAUGAUGACUCUCAAGAAUAUUCGGAAGUAUGGGAAACUGCUCCCGACGAGCUCUUGGCCGGAAACUCGGCGUAUGUUGAGCACAUAUCCCGGCACGGGCGCAGUUUACGCUGUGGUGGCUACGCGGGUCCUUAAGAAUGAGACACGGUACUCCGUCUACGUGCCGAACCAUAGUUACGGAUGCGCUGAUGUUAUUGAAGACGGAUGCGAUAUGAUUGAUGACUGGCUAUCACAAAUAAUGUGUGCAACACUGUUAUUUGUUGGUUUGUUCGUGUGUUUCUUUGGACAUCGAUUCUUUAAGACUGAAAUGUUCCUAGCUGGAUUCUUCAGUGGUGUCAUUAUAACUUACAUACUGAUAGCUUUGAUAGCCGCUAUCGAUAAGCCUGCUCUGCUGGGAGCAGCGGCCUUAUCUGGAGUGUUCUUCGGAGCAAUAUGGUGGUUGUUCUGGUGGCUGUACGGCAUACCUGUGCUUGCAGUACUUCUGCCUUCUUUGAACUUGGGCUUUUUGUUAGCCGCGAUAUUCUACUAUAGAUUACCAGGACACCAAAUCUACCUAGAAAUGGACUUCAAUUUCUGGAGCAUAUUCGUACUAGUGGUCAUGCUAACAGCAUUAGCCGUGGUCUCAGUAAGCUACGCAGCUAAUAUUCUAUGCUGUGCCAUCCUCGGCGCGUACGCAGCCGUGCUAUCGAUCGACUACUACUUGGGAUCACAUAUGAAGUUUAUACUGAUCAAUGUGUUCAGGAGAGCUGUUGUGCCAAAUUUCAAUAAGGCCAUUUUGGCUGCACCGUCGCCUUUUGAAUGGAGAGAUUUCACGGUAACGCUAAUAUGGGUGAUACUGGCAACACUGGGGUUCACUUUUCAACACUGGUAUAACAGAGGCAGACCUCCUUUCCCCCCACCUCCUAGGAUUGUCCGGCCUAGCAUGGAACCUACUAUGUAUGGGGCCGUUGAAUACUUCAUGAGACGCGAACGAGCAACGCCCACAACACCUGCUAGAAGAUUGCAGAACGAAAGAACUGCUCUACUAGCUUAGGUACUCGUAUGACAAUAAAAUUGAAUAAACAAAGGUAAUAUCAAAAUGGGCGACAUAAAUACUGGUCUGGCGACCCGAGGACUCAGUCUAGCGACAUGACGACUCUGUCUUGCGACUUAACAAUUCUGUCUUGCAACCUAACGAUUCUGUCUGGCCACCUGACGAUUCUGUCUGGUGACCUUACGAUUUCGUCUGGUGACCUGACGAUUCAGUCUGGUGACCUGACGAUUCAGUCUGGCGACCUAACGAUUCUGUCUGGUGAUCUUCUGAUUCCUUCUGGCGACCUAACGAUUCAGUCUAGCGACAUAGCCAUUUAGUCUCGCUACUUUGAAUUGUUCGUUUUAUCCGAUACAGUUUCUGAUCUGAAGUCGCCGAGAUGAUUUGGCAGGCCGACAUGACUAGUCUUAUUUAACUGUUCUUUUUGCUCAUAAAAAUAGUUUUUGAACUUACGUAAAUUGCAAAAGAAAAGAUCUCUUGAACAAAACCGCUUCGCACAGAUUAUAAAGACUUGUAGUUUCUAUUACCUGACUGUCAAGAAGGGUUUUGACACUAAUCUUCUAAUACUACUUACUGGCCAUAUUUCCAAAGAUAUUAAUUAAAUGUUUAAUCAACUAACUACAUUGUUAUUACAUUUUAUAUGUCUAGAUUAUGCUGUUCGACCAUUUUUGCGUAUUUUUAAGCGUUUAUCAUUUAGAUGUAACCAGUCUAUAAAAAAAUACUGAUUUGUAUGUGACAUAAAAGAGACUGAAUUUUGCAAAUUGUGGUUAAAGAAUAUUUUUUAAGACUGGGUAUGUGAAAAUGAAAACUACUUUCUAAGAAUAUAGUCAUUAGUGAAUACACCAAAAUAUGCUAAUAUAUGUACCUUUUUAUAAGAAUGCCUUGCAAUGCUCGCUUGAAAGUCCAUUUUUCUAUUUAAAAUUUAAAGGCAUAAAAACCAAAAUUAUGAUAUUUAGAUAUGAAAAAAAAUACUCUUCAAUUUAUACUCUGUACUCUAGUUUAAUCUAAGUAUGUUAAAAAAAAUAAUUCGACGAUCAAAAGGGCUUAAUAUUGUAUCAAAUUGAACAGUUAAUCGCCUUCUUAUUAAUAUGAUUAUAAGCUAAAAUUUCUUCUUCCAAUUCCAUAAUUUAUUACUGUAGCAAACAUAAGCUUAUAUUUAAAACAUAUCAUGAUAACCAGACAUAUUGUAAGACUGUAUAUCUUGUGAUUUUAUGUGUAAGUGUGGACAAGAAGUGUAAACAUUCCCAUUUAACGCUAAUACAUUUUUGUUUAAUUUUUUA
rnacentral:misc_RNA from 1 species